rnacentral:rRNA from 1 species
CAACAGGGAUUGCCCUAGUAACGGCGAGUGAAGCGGCAACAGCUCAAAUUUGAAAUCUGGCCUCGGCCCGAGUUGUAAUUUGCAGAGGAUGUUUCUGGCGCGGUGCCUUCCGAGUUCCCUGGAACGGGACGCCACAGAGGGUGAGAGCCCCGUAUGGUUGGACACCAAGCCUGUGUGAAACUCCUUCGACGAGUCGAGUAGUUUGGGAAUGCUGCUCUAAAUGGGAGGUAAAUCUCUUCUAAAGCUAAAUACCGGCCAGAGACCGAUAGCGCACAAGUAGAGUGAUCGAAAGAUGAAAAGCACCUUGAAAAGGGGGUUAAACAGUACGUGAAAUUGUUGAAAGGGAAGCGCUCAUGACCAGACUUGUGCCGGGCGGUUCAUCCGGGGUUCUCCCCGGUGCACUCCGCCCGGCUCAGGCCAGCAUCGGUUCUCGUUGGGGGAUAAGAACGGUAGGAACGUGGCCCUCCCUCGGGAGGGUGUUAUAGCCCGCCGUACGAUACCCUGACGGGGACCGAGGUUCGCGCUCCGCAAGGAUGCUGGCGUAAUGGUCAUCAGCGACCCGUCUUGAAACACGGACCAAGGAGUCGUCCAUUAGAGCGAGCGUUUGGGUGUAAAACCCGCACGCGUAAUGAAAGUGAAAUUAGGUGAGAGCUUCGGCGCAUCAUCGACCGAUCCUGAUGUUCUCGGAUGGAUUUGAGUAAGAGUUUUAACGGACGGACCCGAAAGACAGUGAACUAUGCUUGUAUAGGGUGAAGCCAGAGGAAACUCUGGUGGAGGCUCGCAGCGGUUCUGACGUGCAAAUCGAUCGUCAAAUAUGAGCA